CCCUUAGAUGUUCUGGGCUGCACGCGCGCUACACUGAUGCGCUCAACGAGUUUUAACCUUGCCUGGAAAGGUUGGGUAAUCUUUUUAAAACGCAUCGUGAUGGGGAUAGAUUAUUGCAAUUAUUAAUCUUCAACGAGGAAUUCCUAGUAAGCGCGAGUCAUCAGCUCGUGCUGAUUACGUCCCUGCCCUUUGUACACACCGCCCGUCGCUACUACCGAUUGAAUGGUUUAGUGAGAUCCUUGGAUUGGUCCCGGGAUGGUGGGAAACUGCCGCUCCGGUGUGCUGAGAAGACGAUCAAACUUGAUCAUUUAGAGGAAGUAAAAGUCGUAACA
rnacentral:rRNA from 1 species